UUCCGGUGGCACUCCGUCAGAAAAGGGAAGAAAGCUUCAGAUGGCUGUGCAUACAACUUCCUAAACACACUAGGAGUGUUCACUUCCCAAAGAGUUACAGCAUAGUGAAACUUCAAGAACUAGUGUUUUUUGGACCAUCCCAGUGCACAUGAAUCAGGAGGCAGAUUACAGAAAUCAUAAGUCCAGUGACAAUGAAAAACAAUCAAUUCCAGUCUCAUGCACAUCAUGGAUGAAUUCCCCAGACAUAAUGCUGAGCAAGAAGAGGGAGAUGCAGAAGAAUCCAGUGUUGUGCUCCAGUCAUUGAUUCACAUAAGAAGCAUUCCUUGGGGUUACCACCCCUAUCAUCACAAAUUUCCUUCUAAGGGUU